GCAGUCGAGCGGACAGAAGGGAGCUUGCUCCCGGAUGUUAGCGGCGGACGGGUGAGUAACACGUGGGUAACCUGCCUGUAAGACUGGGAUAACUCCGGGAAACCGGAGCUAAUACCGGAUAGUUCCUUGAACCGCAUGGUUCAAGGAUGAAAGACGGUUUCGGCUGUCACUUACAGAUGGACCCGCGGCGCAUUAGCUAGUUGGUGAGGUAACGGCUCACCAAGGCGACGAUGCGUAGCCGACCUGAGAGGGUGAUCGGCCACACUGGGACUGAGACACGGCCCAGACUCCUACGGGAGGCAGCAGUAGGGAAUCUUCCGCAAUGGACGAAAGUCUGACGGAGCAACGCCGCGUGAGUGAUGAAGGUUUUCGGAUCGUAAAGCUCUGUUGUUAGGGAAGAACAAGUGCAAGAGUAACUGCUUGCACCUUGACGGUACCUAACCAGAAAGCCACGGCUAACUACGUGCCAGCAGCCGCGGUAAUACGUAGGUGGCAAGCGUUGUCCGGAAUUAUUGGGCGUAAAGGGCUCGCAGGCGGUUUCUUAAGUCUGAUGUGAAAGCCCCCGGCUCAACCGGGGAGGGUCAUUGGAAACUGGGAAACUUGAGUGCAGAAGAGGAGAGUGGAAUUCCACGUGUAGCGGUGAAAUGCGUAGAGAUGUGGAGGAACACCAGUGGCGAAGGCGACUCUCUGGUCUGUAACUGACGCUGAGGAGCGAAAGCGUGGGGAGCGAACAGGAUUAGAUACCCUGGUAGUCCACGCCGUAAACGAUGAGUGCUAAGUGU
rnacentral:rRNA from 1 species